UGGGGAAUAUUGCACAAUGGGCGCAAGCCUGAUGCAGCCAUGCCGCGUGUAUGAAGAAGGCCUUCGGGUUGUAAAGUACUUUCAGCGGGGAGGAAGGGAGUAAAGUUAAUACCUUUGCUCAUUGACGUUACCCGCAGAAGAAGCACCGGCUAACUCCGUGCCAGCAGCCGCGGUAAUACGGAGGGUGCAAGCGUUAAUCGGAAUUACUGGGCGUAAAGCGCACGCAGGCGGUUUGUUAAGUCAGAUGUGAAAUCCCCGGGCUCAACCUGGGAACUGCAUCUGAUACUGGCAAGCUUGAGUCUCGUAGAGGGGGGUAGAAUUCCAGGUGUAGCGGUGAAAUGCGUAGAGAUCUGGAGGAAUACCGGUGGCGAAAGCGGCCCCCUGGACGAAGACUGACGCUCAGGUGCGAAAGCGUGGGGAGCAAACAGG
rnacentral:rRNA from 1 species